rnacentral:snRNA from 1 species
AUACUCUGGUUUUUCUUCAGAUAGCAUAAAUCUUUCACCUUUUAAUAAAGAUUUCCAUGGAGAGAAACAAUUCGAGUUCAUGCCCAUUUUUGUGAGGCCUUGGUUUCACAGGGCU